rnacentral:tRNA from 2 species
GGGCUCGUAGAUCAGCGGUAGAUCGCCCCCUUGGCAUGGGGGAGGCCUGGGGUUCGAAUCCCCACGAGUCCA